rnacentral:misc_RNA from 1 species
AAAAAAAAUAAAAAUUCUAACCUUUUCAAAGGCAUACUGCAUUUCCACAGUAGGAAACCGAUGGAAAAUAAACCACGACAAGAGUUCAUUCCACUCUUUGGAUUCACAUUAAAGCACAAGCCUAAUCCUUUCAAAGUAUAUAACGUAAUGCUAACAUAGAAACUUUCUAACGCUAUUGAUUUUGCAACAGAUUGGUGAAGGCGUCAUAUUUUCAGUCCAGUAAUUUCAGAGUUG